ACAAAGACGCGCGCCGCUUUAUAAUAUUUCUUAAAUAUAAGGGUACUUUGCGAGUAAUUUGCACUCUUACAAGCGACAAAAAAUGUUAUUCGAAAAGCGCCCUAAUCAUUCUACUGCUGCAGUGACCACAGCAUAGUUUUUAUUGUAACCAGAGCGAAACGAGAUCAAAUAAUAAUGUAUUCAGGUUUAACCCUUGCCGGUACUGAAAUGAGGUAGCUUGGACACAGAUGGAUUUUUAAUGUAGUCAUUYAAGUGAUUUAAUCUUACCAUCUUUCCAAUCGUCCAUCGCCCGCGCUUUGUAGAGUUCUUCUGAAUUCUCGUCUUUGUCGUCGUCGUUUUCUUCAAGCUCUUCGUUAGACUUUUGUGCGGCUGCCCUGAAAAACGUGGGAAGGCGACGAGGCAACAGCGACAGAUCAGCCACUACACGUUCUGGAACAUUGCAUUGCCAAGACGCAAGGAGAGAUCGCAAAAAACGAGCGUAACAAAAAACACAACACAAGCGCUGUAUUUCAGAUAAAACAACAUGGCGGACCUCCCUCGAGAAAGAGAKAAGUAAAACCAAAUUUACCAGGAGCUCAGGCAAGAAACAGAGUUUUGGGUUAAAAUAAUCAUCAAUAAAGACGGACUCGAUAUGAGUUAAUUGGUUGUCAAUGAUGAAUG